AUGUCCUCCACAAUCACCUAUUGAUCAAGUUUGAGCUUGUUGGUCCCCAACCACGUUGGGUCCUAAGAGGUUAGUCACAAUAGGCUUGGCAACCCAAAUGGUACUUUUCUUGACACCACUUUGAGUACCAACAAACUUGGCAAACACAUUGCCAACCUUAUCCUUCCCAAGAUAAUAUAUAUCAUCAAUAAUGAUUGGGUUGGAUAAAUU
rnacentral:lncRNA from 1 species